rnacentral:rRNA from 1 species
GACGUAGGAUGCAAGCGUUGUCCGGAUUUAUUGGGCGUAAAGAGUUCGUAGGUGGUUUGUUAAGUCUGAUGUUAAAGAUCGAGGCUCAACCUCGGGAGUGCAUUGGAUACUGGCAGACUUGAGUAUGGUAGAGGCAAGCGGAAUUCCCAGUGUAGCGGUGAAAUGCGUAGAUAUUGGGAAGAACACCGGUGGCGUAGGCGGCUUGCUGGGCCAUAACUGACACUGAGGAACGAAAGCCAGGGGAGCGAAUGGG